rnacentral:sRNA from 1 species
CCCAGAGGGGCCCUCGUGUAAAUUCAUGCACCCUCGAUUUGAACUGCCCAUGGGAACCACCGAGCAGCCCCCACUGCCGCAGCAGACACAGCCUCCAGCAAAGGUACCGUGCCUGGCCUUCCUCGGUAGGAAGGAAGUGCCUUUUCUACAGCGAGAACCUCAGUGUCCCCCAGGGGUGUGGUCUGCCUUAGACCCCGCUGGACAACUUGGGAGAGGAGGGGAGUCUCCCAAGUUCCCGCAGAAAAGUCAGGAGCAAAGCCGUGUGUAUCUCCCUCGAGACACCGAGGGCCUCUUGCCCUAGAACCUCAGCAAGGCCAAGCGCAGCAGCAGACACAGUCCAGGCGCCGUGCAACUGGCCACCCGUUGUGAGAUGGGGCUGCCUGGUUCAGCAGCGUCUGCCCCCGGGGCUGGCAUGGAGGGCGGCCUGGGCACCGUGUCUGCUGCUCUUGCUCCUGGGUCAGACCCUUUAUUUUGCAAAUAGGGAAACUGAGACUACCAGAGGGAGGGACCUGCCUGAGGUGACACCACUGGGCAGGAGCAGGUGUGGCAGCAGAACUGACCACUCUGGCCAGCACCGCCCCUGCUCCUGUGGAGUGGAGGUUGGGAGGAGGCGCGAGAACAGGCCCGGCUGGCUCCAGUUUUCUAGAUGAGGGGCCCCACAGCCAAGCAGCUGGUCCGUCCCCUCAAGCACAAGGGGAGGGGGAAAUGCUGUAGACACAUGGGGAUCUGCAGCAGCCUCUCAAUGCCAAGGGCACCCUGAGUUUGGUUAUGGGAGUCGGGAGUUGAGCCAAGAGGAAGGGCUGGCAUCAAGGCAGGGCGGGCAUCAGGCAGGGUUCCCAACAGGCCCAUCAAGCGCAACCACCUCCUGAGCCCAAUGCCUCACCUCCUACCCUGCUGGGCUCUGGACUGGCUGCCAAAGCCCCACC